rnacentral:rRNA from 1 species
UACGUAGGUGGCAAGCGUUGUCCGGAUUUACUGGGCGUAAAGAGCGCGUAGGCGGGAUGGCAAGUCGGUCGUGAAAUCCCUCGGCUCAACUGAGGAUCGUCGAUCGAUACUGCCGUUCUUGAGGAUUGCAGAGGAGACUGGAAUUCCCGGUGUAGCGGUGAAAUGUGUAGAGAUCGGGAGGAACACCGGUGGCGAAGGCGGGUCUCUGGGCAAUUCCUGACGCUGAGGCGCGAAAGCGUGGGGAGCAAACGGG